rnacentral:rRNA from 1 species
CUACGGGAGGCUGCAGUGGGGAAUAUUGGACAAUGGGGGAAACCCUGAUCCAGCAAUGCCGCGUGUGUGAAGAAGGCCUGCGGGUUGUAAAGCACUUUCGGUUGGGAGGACUGCUUCUAGCACUAAUAUUGUUGGAAGUUGACGUUACCUUCAGAAGAAGCACCGGCUAGCUCCGUGCCAGCAGCCGCGGUAAUACGGAGGUGUGCAAGCGUUAAUCGGAAUUACUGGGCGUAAAGCGCGCGUAGGCGGCUAGAUCAGUCGGGUGUGAAAGCCCCGGGCUUAACCUGGGAACUGCAUCCGAUACUGUCUAGCUUGAGUACAGGAGAGGAGAGUGGAAUUCCACAUGUAGCGGUGAAAUGCGUAGAUAUGUGGAGGAACACCAAUGGCGAAGGCAGCUCUCUGGCCUGAUACUGACGCUGAGGUGCGAAAGCGUGGGGAGCAAACAGGAUUAGAUACCCCUGUAGUC